GACGUAGGGCGCGAGCGUUGUCCGGAUUUAUUGGGCGUAAAGAGCGUGUAGGCGGCCAGGUAGGUCUGCUGUGAAAACUCGAGGCUCAACCUCGAGACGUCGGCGGAAACCAUCUGGCUAGAGUCCGGAAGAGGAGAGUGGAAUUCCCGGUGUAGUGGUGAAAUGCGUAGAUAUCGGGAGGAACACCAGUGGCGAAGGCGACUACCUGGCCUGUUCUUGACGCUGAGGCGCGAAAGCUGGGGGAGCAAACGGG
rnacentral:rRNA from 1 species